GAUGAACGCUGGCGGCGUGCCUAAUACAUGCGAGUCGAGCGAACAGACGAGGAGCUUGCUCCUCUGACGUUAGCGGCGGACGGGUGAGUAACACGUGGAUAACCUACCUAUAAGACGGGGAUAACUUCGGGAAACCGGAGCUAAUACCGGAUAAUAUAUUGAACCGCAUGGUGCAAUAGUGAAAGACGGUUUUGCUGUCACUUAUAGAUGGAUCCGCGCCGCAUUAGCUAGUUGGUAAGGUAACGGCUUACCAAGGCGACGAUGCGUAGCCGACCUGAGAGGGUGAUCGGCCACACUGGAACUGAGACACGGUCCCGACUCCUACGGGAGGCCGCAGUAGGGAAUCUUCCGCAAUGGGCGAAAGCCUGACGGAGCAACGCCGCGUGAGUGAUGAAGGUCUUCGGAUCGUAAAACUCUGUUAUUAGGGAAGAACAAAUGUGUAAGUAACUAUGCACGUCUUGACGGUACCUAAUCAGAAAGCCCCGGCUAACUACGUG
rnacentral:rRNA from 1 species